rnacentral:rRNA from 1 species
AACGAACGCUGGCGGCAGGCCUAACACAUGCAAGUCGAGCGAGGACUUCGGUCCUAGCGGCGGACGGGUGAGUAACGCGUGGGAACGUGCCCUUUGCUUCGGAAUAGCCCUGGGAAACUGGGAGUAAUACCGGAUGAGCCCUUUGGGGGAAAGAUUUAUCGGCGAAGGAUCGGCCCGCGUUGGAUUAGGUAGUUGGUGGGGUAAUGGCCUACCAAGCCGACGAUCCAUAGCUGGUUUGAGAGGAUGAUCAGCCACACUGGGACUGAGACACGGCCCAGACUAGAACGGGAGGCAGGGGGGGGGAAUCUGCGGCAGUGGGGGCAGCGCUGAGCUAGCGAUGGGGGUGUAGCGAUGAAGGCCUUGGGGUUCAAAAGUGCGUUCGGCGGGAAAGAUAAUGCGGAUACCAGCAGAAGCAGCCGCGGGAAACGCCGUGCCAGCAGCGGGAAUAAUAAGGGAAGACCCCACGUCGGCAC